UGGGGAAUUUUGGACAAUGGGCGAAAGCCUGAUCCAGCAAUGCCGCGUGUGUGAAGAAGGCCUUCGGGUUGUAAAGCACUUUUGUCCGGAAAGAAAUCCUUGGCUCUAAUACAGUCGGGGGAUGACGGUACCGGAAGAAUAAGCACCGGCUAACUACGUGCCAGCAGCCGCGGUAAUACGUAGGGUGCAAGCGUUAAUCGGAAUUACUGGGCGUAAAGCGUGCGCAGGCGGUUUGCUAAGACCGAUGUGAAAUCCCCGGGCUCAACCUGGGAACUGCAUUGGUGACUGGCAGGCUAGAGUAUGGCAGAGGGGGGUAGAAUUCCACGUGUAGCAGUGAAAUGCGUAGAGAUGUGGAGGAAUACCGAUGGCGAAGGCAGCCCCCUGGGCCAAUACUGACGCUCAUGCACGAAAGCGUGGGGAGCAAAACAGGAUUAGAUACCCUGGUAGUCCACGCCCUAAAACGAUGUCAACUAGUUGUUGGGGAUUCAUUUCCUUAGUAACGUAGCUAACGCGUGAAGUUGACCGCCUGGGGAGUACGGUCGCAAGAUUAAAACUCAAAUGAAUUGACGGGGUCAUAGCUGUUC
rnacentral:rRNA from 1 species